UGGGGAAUUUUGGACAAUGGGCGCAAGCCUGAUCCAGCAAUGCCGCGUGCAGGAUGAAGGCCUUCGGGUUGUAAACUGCUUUUGUACGGAGCGAAAAGGUCUGCCCUAAUACGGUGGGCUCAUGACGGUACCGUAAGAAUAAGCACCGGCUAACUACGUGCCAGCAGCCGCGGUAAUACGUAGGGUGCGAGCGUUAAUCGGAAUUACUGGGCGUAAAGCGUGCGCAGGCGGUUAUAUAAGACAGAUGUGAAAUCCCCGGGCUCAACCUGGGACCUGCAUUUGUGACUGUUUAGCUGGAGUAAGGUAGAGGGGGAUGGAAUUCCACGUGUAGCAGUGAAAUGCGUAGAUAUGCGGAGGAACACCGAUGGCGAAGGCAAUCCCCUGGACCUGUACUGACGCUCAUGCACGAAAGCGUGGGGAGCAAACA
rnacentral:rRNA from 1 species